UUUUUUUUUUCCUCACCAAUCAUACACACCACAUUCUGACAAUGUAAUAGUUUUCAACAAAGUUUGUGGCUGCAAUAUACACAUCACAUUUGAAUGUGAUUUUCUUUUUUACAAUCUUAAUAUUGUAUAUUCCUGUUGACUUGGGAUCGUUAUUUGACUUUUGUCCAGUGGGUGGUGUAUUGUACGUGUACCGAGUAGUAGCAAAUUUGCUGAGAGUGAGACGAGAGUGUGAAUGAAUGUGCAAGUUUGAUAAGAAUGGCUCUAAAUAUAUAUACAAAUUUUGGAAUUUUCCAAAAAUGUGUUUGUGAGAAUUUUUAUAUAUGUAAUCACUAGCUUGUACAGGAUAUGUUGAUAGAUUUUAUUACAAAGAAACUGCAGCUUGCAGUUUAGCAUCAGGGCAUAUGUGAACCCUGUUUUAUAUAUUGAAUAAAUUUUUCUGU
rnacentral:misc_RNA from 1 species